AUACGUAGGUGACAAGCGUUAUCCGGAUUUACUGGGCGUAAAGGGCGUGUAGGCGGUCUUGCAAGUCAGCAGUGAAAUUCCUGAGCUCAACUCGGGCGCUGCUUCUGAAACUGCAGGACUUGAGUGCUGGAGGGGAUAGCGGAAUUCCUAGUGGAGCGGUAAAAUGCGCAGAUAUUAGGAAGAACACCGGUGGCGAAGGCGGCUAUCUGGACAGUAACUGACGCUGAGGCGCGAAAGCGUGGGGAGCAAACAGGAUUAGAUACCCUGGUAGUCCACGCUGUAAACGAUGAAUACUAGGUGUGGGGGGACUGACCCCCUCCGUGCCGCAGUUAACACAAUAAGUAUUCCACCUGGGGAGUACGAUCGCAAGAUUGAAACUCAAAUGAAUUGGCGGGG
rnacentral:rRNA from 1 species